UGAACGCUGGCGGCGUGCCUAAUACAUGCAAGUCGAGCGAACGGACGAGAAGCUUGCUUCUCUGCUGUUAGCGGCGGACGGGUGAGUAACACGUGGAUAACCUACCUAUAAGACUGGGAUAACUUCGGGAAACCGGAGCUAAUACCGGAUAAUAUUUUGAACCGCAUGGUUCAAAAGUGAAAGACGGUCUUGCUGUCACUUAUAGAUGGAUCCGCGCUGCAUUAGCUAGUUGGUAAGGUAACGGCUUACCAAGGCAACGAUGCAUAGCCGACCUGAGAGGGUGAUCGGCCACACUGGAACUGAGACACGGUCCAGACUCCUACGGGAGGCAGCAGUAGGGAAUCUUCCGCAAUGGGCGAAAGCCUGACGGAGCAACGCCGCGUGAGUGAUGAAGGUCUUCGGAUCGUAAAACGCUGUUAUUAGGGAAGAACAUAUGUGUAAGUAACUGUGCACAUCUUGACGGUACCUAAGCAGAAAGCCACGGCUAACUACGU
rnacentral:rRNA from 1 species